rnacentral:rRNA from 1 species
UACGUAGGGUGCAAGCGUUGUCCGGAAUUAUUGGGCGUAAAGAGCUCGUAGGCGGUUUGUCGCGUCGAAUGUGAAAACCCGGGGCUCAACCCCGGGCCUGCAUUCGAUACGGGCAGACUAGAGUUCGGUAGGGGAGAACGGAAUUCCCGGUGUAGCGGUGAAAUGCGCAGAUAUCGGGAGGAACACCGGUGGCGAAGGCGGUUCUCUGGGCCUGUACUGACGCUGAGGAGCGAAAGCGUGGGGAGCGAACAGG